UAUGAUUAGCUAGUUGGUGAGGUAACGGCUCACCAAGGCAACGAUCAUUAGGGGUUCUGAGAGGAAGGUCCCCCACACUGGUACUGAGACACGGACCAGACUCCUACGGGAGGCAGCAGUGAGGAAUAUUGGUCAAUGGGCGAGAGCCUGAACCAGCCAUGUCGCGUGAAGGAAGAAUGUCCUAUGGAUUGUAAACUUCUUUUAUACAGGAAUAAAGUGUACUACGUGUAGUAUUUUGUAUGUACUGUAUGAAUAAGGAUCGGCUAACUCCGUGCCAGCAGCCGCGGUAAUACGGAGGAUCCGAGCGUUAUCCGGAUUUAUUGGGUUUAAAGGGUGCGUAGGCGGGCUGAUAAGUCAGUGGUGAAAGUUUGCAGCUUAACUGUAAAAUUGCCAUUGAAACUGUUAGUCUUGAGUACAGUAGAGGUAGGCGGAAUGUGUAGUGUAGCGGUGAAAUGCAUAGAUAUUACACAGAACACCAAUUGCGUAGGCAGCUUACUGGAGUGUCACUGACGCUGAGGCACGAUAGCGUGGGGAUCAAACAGGAUUAGAUACCCUGGUAGUCCACGCCGUAAACGAUGAUUACUAACUGUUUGCGAUAUAAUGUAAGUGGUACAGAGAAAUCGUUAAGUA
rnacentral:rRNA from 1 species